GCCCGGGUGGUGGAAUGGCAGACACAAGGGACUUAAAAUCCCUAGUCCGGUAACGGGCGUGCGGGUUCGAGUCCCGCCCUGGGCA
rnacentral:tRNA from 1 species